ensembl:lncRNA
GCAAGUUUCUUUAUCUCCCCUCCGCCCCCGCCGCAGGGCCGCGCCGUCCCCCCCCUCCCACGGCGCCCCCUUCACCUGGGCAGAGCCCCUCGCCGGCUGUCGCAACUUUGCUCUUCUCCACGCUGCCGGGGAAGCGGGCGAAGCGCGAGGAGGAGGGAGGUGGCGGGGGGUGCUGGGAUCAGGCCGCUGGGCUCUGGGAGGACACGUGGGGGAGGAGGGGAAGGAGGAGGAGGAAGGGGGGGCGGGCCUGCAGUUCUCGGGGCUCCCCCUGCCAGCCCCGGGGAAGCCGGAACCUCGCCAGGCAGCCGCAGACCCCGCACUGGCCACGGGGGAAGAACGGAGCCACCUUCCCCGGCCAGCCCUUGGCUCCAGGAAGGAGGGGGGGCGAGCAACGCCGCUCGGGGUCGGAGAGCAAGCGUUUUCGCUCGAGCUUUCUGUGUGACUCUCUCUCUCUCGGUUUAGCCUCUGUGCCCAGAGGUUCCAUCCCUAAGCUAUGGGGUGUCUUCUCUCCUUUGGAAGGACUUUAGAGAUGGCAGUUGUGACUUGCCUGGUGUGUCUGCCUCACCUGGUUUGAAGGAUGCGCGACACCCUUCACCUGGCCAAAUCCUUCAAGCCCCGUUUCCAUGAAGCUUUCUCUGAAUGCUUUUGCCUUUGAACUCUUGACCCCAUAGUGGCUCAGUGGUAAAGAAUUCGCCUGCCAAUGCCAGUGACAUGGGUUCGAUCCUGGUCUGGGAAGAUCCCACAUGCCAUGGAGUAGCUAAGCCCAUGCACCACAACUACUGAGCCUGUGCUCUAGUAGAGCCUGGGAGCUGCCACUACUGAGCCCACGUGCUGCAACUACUGAAGCCUAGAGCCUGUGCUCCACAACAAGAGAAGCCACUACAACGAGAAGCCCGCACACCACAGGUUGAGAGUGACCCCCGCUUGCUGCAACGAAAGAAACGCCCUUGCAGCAAUGAAGACCCAGCACAGCCAAAAAUAAAUAAAUAAAUAAAAUGUUUAAAUUGGC